GAGCGCUGGUCGCUGGCUGUCUGCAGCUGGCACAGUUGCGCUGCCAGUUGCACUGCACUCAUCCCCUUGCAACAGCCAUGCCCUCACAGGAGUGACUUCCCCUCGGACGGCCUUUCCAGCCCAAGAUACGCAGAACUCCUUUGGGUCGGUGCCUAGCAUAGGCAGCGGCUCUGAGGGGGCAUCUCUGGCCGAGCUCCGGGCUCGGCGACCUCACCAGGCUCCGCUGCCCGCCCGCCCCCACCCCACUGCUCCCGGCCCGCCUUGGGCGGCCCGCGCCGGCUGCUGGGGCAGGGGCAGGGCCGGGACUGCAGCCCGGGGCACCGCCCGGCCCGGGGCACCGCCGGGGCCGCAGCCCGUGCCCGACCCGUGCCCAGCCCGUUCGCGGCCCGGCCCGGCCCGGGGCACGGCCGGGACAGCAGCCCGGCCCGGGACACAGCCGAGGCCGCAGCCCGUGCCCGGCCCGGGACACAGCCGAGGCCGCAGCCCGUGCCCGGCGCGGCCUGCGCUGCUGAAAGACAGACAAAGAAAAUAAACUGCUUUUGACAUGUUCUUCAGAAAACCUAGAUCUGUCUGAUAGGGUCUUUCCAGACAUGCUUCACUGAAAUGGAGGGUGAGUAAAAACAGUUGGGUUUGGUACAGAGUAGUGAACAGAAAUUAAACACUCUACGUCCAGCAUCUCAUCCACUCACCAGUUCAACAAUGCAGCUUUAAUUAUAGUAACAUGAAUUGUCUUAUGUUAAAGCAGUAGAGAGGGUUAUGUGUUAGAUCUGGAGCAAUACAUAACAAGAAAGUAAAAAAAAAAUACAAAAAAACCACAAACACCAACAAAAUGGAACAGUACAGAAGACUAUGCUUGCAGAUUCUAACCACUGAAAGACUCUCCAUAGCACAAAUUGAAAUCCAGAGAAGUUAAUGGUGUCAAGACAUCUUGCGAAAGACCUUUAAAUUCAGCUGGUUUUCAGCUUCACCAUUGUCACAGAGUAAUAGUCUUUUAUAUGUAAGAUUUUGUGAUAUAU
rnacentral:lncRNA from 1 species